rnacentral:rRNA from 1 species
UACGUAGGGGGCUAGCGUUGUCCGGAAUCAUUGGGCGUAAAGAGCGUGUAGGCGGCUUGGUAAGUCCGCUGUGAAAGUCCAGGGCUCAACCCUGGAAAGCCAGUGGAAACUGUCAAGCUAGAGUCCGGAAGAGGCGAGUGGAACUCCUGGUGUAGCGGUGAAAUGCGCAGAUAUCAGGAAGAACACCCGUGGCGAAGGCGGCACUCUGGGACGGUACUGACGCUGAGACGCGAAAGCGUGGGGAGCGAACAGG